CAGUAGCCGCGGUAAAACGAAGGGGGCUAGCGUUGCUCGGAAUGACUGGGCGUAAAGGGCGCGUAGGCGGAUUGUUUAGUUAGGCGUGAAAUUCCUGGGCUUAACCUGGGGACUGCGCUUAAUACAGGCAGUCUAGAGUGAGGAAGAGGGUUGUGGAAUUCCCAGUGUAGAGGUGAAAUUCGUAGAUAUCGGAAGGAACACCUGUGGCGAAAGCGGCUCACUGGACCAUUUCUGACGCUGAUGCCCGAAAGCUAGGGGAGCAAACAGGAUUAGAUACCCGCGUAGUCCCUGUCUCUUAUAC
rnacentral:rRNA from 1 species